UUAUAUCCUCAUAAAUGAAUUAGUCUAUUCUUUUGAUGAUUGGCAAUGAUUAAUUAUCCUGCUUUUACAGCCACUUGAUAUACUGCUGUUCAAUGUAUACAGAUGUGUUAACACACAGAGAUACAGCUUAUCUGAUCAAGAUAAGGACCAAUGAAAAUACAGGAUUCUGAACCGCUUUACACCUGUACACAAAAAAAUAAUCCCAAUCUUUCUGCUUGUUUUUUUUUUCUCCGAGAUCUUUGCAAAUGCUGUCAGCAAAUAAAUGGUCAAAUUUUCCCAUGAACUGUAUACUUAUAUAUUUUAAGAACAUAGAAAUUCCCUUCAGUAACUAUAUAUUGUACCAAAGAAAAUGGCUCAUGAAUACAAAAAUUUGAAUGUAAACAGGAAGUUCGUUGUUCAUGUUGUUGGAGGCAAAUGGAAUAAAGCUAACUUGAAACUCUAAAAUGCUUUUAAAGAGAUAUCAGAUGAAAGAGUGUGCAUAUAUCUAGUUAUUAGAGGUAUGCCUAUAUGUAUGAAUUGAUGUAGUUGGAGAAAUCAGAUCGCUUCAGUGCAUGACUAUGCUACAGGAUGAUACAAGAUCACAGACAGAAAUUCGAUCAAGGAUCAAACAUAAAUUACAUAAUACUUCAACUAAAUUAAAUGGUUGGAAUGAAGUUCCUGACCCUGGUGAUGGUUUUGGAAAAGCUAAGAGACAUUCUGAUGCCACCUUAUAUUGAGACUACAAUACUCCAAAAUGAUUUUGUUGUAUUCGUAAUUUUCUAUUAAAUAAUCUUUUAGUUUAAUUUUCAAGUUUAAGCUAAGUGAAUUUUUAUUAUUCUUAACCACAAGUGUAAAUGCCGCUGGCAGAUGUGUUAUUCCCCUU
rnacentral:lncRNA from 1 species